UACGAAGGGGGCAAGCGUUGUUCGGAAUUAUUGGGCGUAAAGGGUGCGUAGGCGGUCUGAUAAGUCAUCUGUGAAAUCUAUGGGCUCAACUCAUAGUCUGCAUGAGAAACUGCCGGGCUUGAGUAUGGGAGAGGUGAGUGGAAUUCCUGGUGUAGCGGUGAAAUGCGUAGAUAUCAGGAGGAACACCUGUGGCGAAAGCGGCUCACUGGACCAUAACUGACGCUGAGGCACGAAAGCGAGGGGAGCAAACAGG
rnacentral:rRNA from 1 species